rnacentral:rRNA from 1 species
AUUGAACGCUGGCGGCAGGCCUAACACAUGCAAGUCGAGCGAGCGGCGGACGGGUGAGUAAUGUAUGGGGACUGCCCGAUAGAGGGGGAUAACUCCUGUAAACGGUAGCUCAUACCGCAUACUAUCGGAUUACCCCUAUGGGGUUAGCUAGUAGGUGGGGUAAUGGCUCACCUAGGCGACGAUCCCUAGCUGGUCUGAGAGGGUGAACGGCCACACUGGAACUGAGACACGGCCCAGACUCCUACGGAGGCAGCAGUGGGGAAUAUUGGACAAUGGACGAAAGCCUGACGGAGCAAUGCCGCGUGUGUGAAGAAGGUUUUCGGGUCGUAAAGCACUGUUAGCGGGGAAGCGGUACCUGACGAGGAAGCAACGGCUAACUACGUGCCAGCAGCCGCGGUAAUUC